GCAUCGCCAGCGAUUAGCCCUAACGGGAGUUUCGAUCUCGGGUCCGGAUCCGGAUCCCGACCCGGAUCCGGGGAUUUCGGGUACUUGACGGGGUAUCAGUACAAAGGAUUUGUGAUGUCGACGAUGGUGGAAGGGAUAAAGAAGAAGAGUAGGAGGCCGGAGGUGGAAGUGGCGGUGCAGCACGUGACAUGCACGGAGGACGCGGCGGUGUUUGUGGCGUUGGCGGCGGCGGUGGACCUGAGCAUGGACGCCUGCAGGCUGUUUUCUCAGAAGCUAAGGAAGGAGCUGAGGCAAUGAAGGGUUUACUGUCGUUUUGUGUGAAUGAGCUUGUCGUUUUGAAUUUCAGACAUUUUGUAUUUUUACAUAUUCAUUUUAUAUUUUUCAAUAGUUGAGUUGUACUUUUGUACAGAGGAGAGAUCAAUA
rnacentral:misc_RNA from 1 species